rnacentral:rRNA from 1 species
CCUACGGGCGGCAGCAGUGGGGAAUAUUGGACAAUGGGGGCAACCCUGAUCCAGCCAUGCCGCGUGUGUGAAGAAGGCCCUCGGGUUGUAAAGCACUUUCAGUGAGGAAGAACGCCUGGUGGUUAAUACCCAUCAGGAAAGACGUCACUCACAGAAGAAGCACCGGCUAACUCCGUGCCAGCAGCCGCGGUAAUACGGAGGGUGCGAGCGUUAAUCGGAAUUACUGGGCGUAAAGCGCGCGUAGGUGGCUUGAUAAGCCGGUUGUGAAAGCCCCGGGCUCAACCUGGGAACGGCAUCCGGAACUGUCAAGCUAGAGUGCAGGAGAGGAAGGUAGAAUUCCCGGUGUAGCGGUGAAAUGCGUAGAGAUCGGGAGGAAUACCAGUGGCGAAGGCGGCCUUCUGGACUGACACUGACACUGAGGUGCGAAAGCGUGGGUAGCAAACAGGAUUAGAUACCCCUGUAGUC